UUCAACAAUUCGAAGACUGUCGGAAAGGUCCGAACGCAUAGCAUGCUGGGAAAAGGGAAAGAUUCGCCAUCUUGCUUGAACGAAGUAGCUAACUAGUUAGCGGCUUGCAAAAAUAAUCACGUUUCUGUGCAAGUAUACAUCAUAAACAUCGUUGCCUCUCAUCGCUUUAAGUCGAGAUAUGCGUACCAAGCAGUAGGGCAUCUGAAGGCUAAAUCCGAUGCUAUUUAAGGUUCAAACAUAGCGACGGAGUAUUAAAAACUUAAGGUCUGAAAAAGCGGUCAUGGGCCGUUCCAGGAGUCGCAGCUCUUCCCGCUCCAAACACUCGAAGAGCAAUAAGCACAAUAAGAAACGAAGCCGUUCCCGGUCGCGGUCGAGGGACAAAGAGAGGUCCAAAAAGCGAUCAAAGUCCCGAGAAGGAAAGAGGAACCGGCGUCGAGAAUCACGCUCGCGCUCCCGCUCAACCACAGCGUCCUCCCGCAGGGAGAGGGAGAGGGAACGGGAGAGAGCCGCCUCGCCCCCUGAAAGAAUUGACAUCUUUGGUCGGACGCUGAGCAAGCGGAGUGCCCUGGACGAAAAACAGAAGAAGGAAGAAGAGGAGAAAAAGGUCGAAUUGGAGCGACAGAGGAAGAUCCGCCAGCAGGAGAUCGAGGAGAAGCUGAUCGAGGAGGAGACGGCACGUCGGGUGGAGGAGCUGGUGGCCAAGCGGGUGGAGGAGGAGCUGGAGAAGCGGAAGGACGAGAUCGAGCGGGAGGUGCUGAGGAGGGUGGAGGAGGCCAAGCGCAUCAUGGAGAGGCAGCUGCUGGAGGAGCUGGAGAAGCAGAGGCAGGCCGAGCUGGCCGCGCAGAAAGCCAGAGAGGUAACGCUUGGUCGUUGGGAACGCAGGCACCCCCCACCCCAGGGAGCUCCAUGGCAAAACUUUCACAGGGGAUUAGGAUUGGCUGAAGGGGCAGAGUCGAGGGGUGGGGCACGAGUGGAAGUGGGCGUGGUCUUGCUUCUUUGUCUGAAACGCUCAGAGGAGGAAGCAACAGCACUCUGAAGUUUAAAAACGUUAAAAAAAACUUAAGUAUUAAACGUAGCUUUAGGUUUAGUUUGAGUGACAAUGUGUCCUCUAUGGACACUUUGUUUUUUGGACUGGAUGCUGUUUUUGUGGUCAUGGUUUUAACAUACCUGCUGCUGAUAUUUUGAGCAUUAGGGAAGCUGUUUUACUCUUAUAUUGAGGCCUCAGGGGAAAUUUUGUGGAACUUUUGCCAUGGCGAAAUUACUGACAUCCUCAGUCGGUGUCUCCACUCCCUACACCCCCCCCCCCCCCCCCGCCCAACCACUCACCCACCCACCCACCCAACCCCCACCUUUUACUUCUCCGCUCCCUUCUCCUCUUCUGUCCUCCAGUCCCCCCUCCUCAUUGUGAUCUCUUAUUUAAUGUGCCGAAUAAAAAUAAAAAGUUGCAACUCGACAUUCCAUUAUUCACUAACACUUUGUCCUCUUUUCUCACAAUAUGUAUUUUAUUUUUAACACCGCAGACACGGUCCUCUGUUUAAUCCGGCUCUUCCAUUUAAACGCACCCCCUUGCAGCCCACAGACACCCGCAGCGCUGUGAGUUUGACUUGCUGAACGAAUCGGGUCCGGCCCAGUCACUCCUACGCGUGAUACACUUUGUAUGAGGGGUUUGCCCUUGCGGCCUGCUGUGUGCGUCCUGCAGUGUCAUGCUGGGACAUAACGUGCAUCAUUAUAACAGUGUUUCACUGGCUGCUGUGCCUCGUGUGUCCUGACUCAGACAUGUCCGCUGGAGCCCCACCUCGAGUUCCGCACGCGCUCAGUCAUGUGCGGUAGGGAACGAUGAUGAACGACCCCUUGAACACGCAGUGCCAAUGACUGGCGUGCCAUUCGCUUUAACAGGGAAGCUGAUAAAUUCAUACCCCUUGCUGUAGUUUUCAGCUGUGAAACGUAGUUUUCCGCCCAUCUUAAGUGCACUUGAUGUAUGUGCUCGUGGAUUUAAAAUGGGAUUUUUUCCCCCUGCUCUGUACACAUUGCUCAUUGUUGUGAAUUAUAAAUGUGAAUGAUCAUUCAAUCAGUUAUAUACCAAUCAAACCAAAUUCAGUGGACACAGGAGCGGAGAGUUGGCUUUUCAGACUUGCCCAAACUAGCAGAUUUAUCCAUGGCUAUGGAGAUCAAAAUUACACUGGCUUUUAAUGUGAUAUUUUCUCUUUCAGUGUUAUAUUUUGAUUUCACAAUUUAAAUGUAAUCCUCAUGGCCACUCACCCAUGCAUUUUCCAGGGAUUCAUUUCACCAUUUGAAUCCCUGUCUACACACACACACACACACACACACACACACACAAAAUCCUCACUCUGCAUCCUGUUUGCUUUUCAAAAAGGUACCAACACUGAAUUAACUUUGUGUGGUAAUUUUGUAUAAAAAAAAAAAAUUAUUAUUCCCUUUUUUGUUUGCAACUAACCCGUUUUCCAUGCAUAUCUUUCUUUUUUAAAGAUUUUUUUAUUUUUUAAUUUCCUGAAAAUGUUUACCUUAGGACUGAUGCUAUUUUUUUUCCACGACACUUGUGUUCCUUAACGCCAUUGCCCUGCUCACUCGCCUGCGGUCCUGGGCGCUCGGCCUGGCCUGGCUGCCGCCGGCACCGCACUGCACUGCACUGUACUGUUGUUUCUGUAAAAAAAGAAAAGAAAAAGGGAAUAAACGGUGAGCGAGCGAGCGAGAGAGCACGCGCCACAGAUCAGUUUUAAAGAGGAAGCGGCUGCGCUCGUUUGGUCGCCACGGAAGCGCUUCUCUGUCUCUCUGCAGGACACGCGGAACAAGACAGAGGAAGAAAAAUCCAAAAGGGAGGAGCUGGAGAAGAUUUUGGAGGAGAAUAACCGUAAGAUUGCUGAAGCCCAGGCCAAACUGGCUGAGGAGCAGUUGAAAAUAGUGGAGGAGCAAAGAAAGAUUCACGAGGAGCGGAUGAAAUUAGAGCAGGAGAGACAGCGGCAGCAGAAGGAGGAGCAGAAAA